rnacentral:rRNA from 1 species
GCGCGCAAUUACCCAAUCCCGACACGGGGAGGUAGUGACAAUAAAUACUGAUACAGGGCCCUUUCGGGUCUUGUAAUUGGAAUGAGUACAAUUUAAAUCCAUUAACGAGGAACAAUUGGAGGGCAAGUCUGGUGCCAGCAGCCGCGGUAAUUCCAGCUCCAAUAGCGUAUAUUAAAGUUGUUGCAGUUAAAAAGCUCGUAGUUGAACCUUGGGUCUGGAUAACUGGUCCGCCUCACCGCGUGCACUGGGAAUCCGGACCUUUCCUUCUGGCAAACCUCAUGCCCUUUGUUGGGUGUGCUGGGGAACCAGGACUUUUACUUUGAAAAAAUUAGAGUGUUCAAAGCAGGCAUUUGCUCGAAUACAUUAGCAUGGAAUAAUAGAAUAGGACGUGCGGUUCUAUUUUGUUGGUUUCUAGGACCGCCGUAAUGAUUAAUAGGGAUAGUCGGGGGCAUCCGUAUUCAAUUGUCAGAGGUGAAAUUCUUGGAUUUAUUGAAGACGAACUACUGCGAAAGCAUUUGCCAAGGAUGUUUUCAUUAAUCAGGAACGAAAGUUGAGGGAUCGAAGACGAUCAGAUACCGUCGUAGUCUCAACCAUAAACUAUGCCGACUAGGGAUCGGGCGAUGUUUUAUUCUGACUCGCUCGGCACCUUACGAGAAAUCAAAGUCUUUG